GUCGUCUCUCCAUUCUCAUCUUCUUCUUUUCUCCGAAACUUCGUCACUUUAGAUUAGGGUUCAGUUUUAAGGCUCCGUCGUUGUAUGAAGUCGGAAAGGAGGUGGAGGAGAAACACCGAGACGUGAAGGAGGUGGAGGAGAAACACUCUUCUCAAAGAAAAAAAAAAACACAUAUAGUGUAAACGGGCCUAACGGGCAUAUACGGGCCUAAGUAAUUAAAACGGGUUUUAGAUAAACGGGUAUCAAAUUUAAACGGGUUUAAAUGGGCAUUCAAUUAAAGGGGCAGGGUCUAAACGGACAGGGCCUAAACGGGUCCGGGUCACCCAUUUUAACAUCUUAUUUGACCCACAUGUCUCUGCCACGUAAGCGUUUGGCAAUGUUUUGGUUUUUGUCUUAUAUUGGUCAUAGGCGUCGUUCUGGACUUACGUGGCUCUAUUUCUUGUGACUCGUUCUUUGUUCGGUCGUCGAUAACGACGGUCAAAUACUUAUAAGGUUUGCUUAUAACGCUAAUAACGGAGUGACUUUAAAACUAA